rnacentral:rRNA from 1 species
CCUACGGGUGGCUGCAGUGGGGGAUAUUGCACAAUGGGGGGAACCCUGAUGCAGCGACGCCGCGUGGGUGAAGGAGUGCUUCGGCAUGUAAAGCCCUAUCGGCAGGGAAGAAGCAAGACGGUACCUGACUAAGAAGCCCCGGCUAACUACGUGCCAGCAGCCGCGGUAAUACGUAGGGGGCAAGCGUUAUCCGGAUUUACUGGGUGUAAAGGGAGCGUAGACGGCGCUGCAAGUCCGGAGUGAAAGCCCAUGGCUUAACCAUGGUACUGCUCUGGAAACUGUGGAGCUUGAGUGCGGGAGGGGCAGGCGGAAUUCCUAGUGUAGCGGUGAAAGGCGUAGAUAUUAGGAGGAACACCGGCGGCGAAGGCGGCCUGCUGGACCGUAACUGACGUUGAGGCUCGAAAGCGUGGGGAGCAAACAGGAUUAGAUACCCUGGUAGUC